rnacentral:lncRNA from 1 species
GCUCUUAAAAGUGCAUGGCAUAGACAAUGGACUAGACUUUCUAAGGGGGCAGCAUAUUUUUUCCUCCUAAUGAAGCCAGACCAAGAUUAAAAUGGCCUUCCAUUCCCCAUGCACCUCAUUGCAAGCAGCAGAGCCGCAGAUCUGAAGCAGGCCAGGGAGAAGCAGCUUAGGGUUUAAAAUGUCAAACUCUUGAUCCUUCUCACUGGAGGGGAGAUGUCUCAUGGAUAAUCCAGAAAUGUGAAAUAAUCCAAAAACCUUUCCUCCCAGGCCCUGGGUGGGAAAAUAAACGGUUGUGGGGGCUGGGUGUUUGGGUAGGUCACGGCUCAGUGAGAUACAUAAUGGAACCACCCAGUGAGGCCUGAACGCAGGAGGAACUGGGAUGCCAUCCAGCCCCACAUUCUGGCCCUGCUCCCCACUCAGAGCUGGGAGUCGACAGCACUGUCCUCAGACUGAUGUGUUUAACUGCUCCGGAGACAUCUGCCCAGCACCCACUACAUGCCAGGCAUCGGGGACACCAGAGUGAACGCCACAAACGAGGUCCUGGUCCUCAGGGGGCAUCCAGUUUAGAGGGCAAGACCGUACACAAAUCAUUCGGUAAUUAGCGCCAUGGGAAGGACUGUGCAAGAGCAGAAAAGCUAGGAGGUUGGAGUUGCCAUCAUGGCUCGGCAGUAACGAACCCGACUAGUAUCCAUGAGGAUGCAGGUUUGAUCCCUGGCCUUGCUCGGUGGGUUAAGGAUCGAUCCACUGUUGCCGUGAGUUGCGGUGUAGGAUGCAGACAUGGCUCGGAUCCCGCAUUGCCGUGGCUGUGGCGUAGGCUAGGGGUCUCGUCGGAGCUGUUGCUGCUGGCCUAUGCCAGAGCCCCAGCAACUCGGGAUCCGAGACACAUCUUUGACCUACACCACAGCUCACGGCAGUGCUAGAUCCUCAACCACUGAGCGAGGCCAGGGAUCAAACCCACAACCUCAUGGUUCCUCGUCGGAUUCGUUAACCACUGAGCCACGACGGGAACUCCAGGAACUCGUGUCCUUAACAAAUCUCACCGCCUGGACUCCCGACUCCUCGUCCAGCACAAUCUUUACCUCUCAGUGCUGUGGGCCUUGGACACCCACCUAUUUUACCGAAGGGGAAGCUGAGCUCAGAGCAGGCCAGAAGCAGCCCAGGGGAGAAGUGUGCAUUUGGCACUUUCUGGGAGAUGGACCAGUGUGAUUCUGGUAGGAGCUGGGUGGGGGUCCUGCUCUUACCCUCCCUGUCCCAGGAGCUCAGGGUCUGUGCCUGCCGCUGACUUCUGCCUCUCUCGUGUUUCUUUGCAGCUUUCAGAAAACCAACGCCAAGACCCCUCCCAGCGUCCACAUCGUCCUCUGGCAGGAGCGCCUGCCCCUCUGCCUCCUGACCCACCCCCUGCACCCCCUGCAGCCCCAUCUCCCCCCCCACCCCUCCCUGCCCAUCUCCUCCACGCAGAAGCCGAAGGUGAGCCCUUUCUGCACAAAACCAGCAAUUGUAAAUACUUUUUAAAAAUGUACAAAACUUAAAAACAAAACACAGUUUUAGAAAAAGACAAAAAAAAAAGAGAGAGAGAGAGAGAGAGCGCGAGCGAGCGUGUGCAAGAGGUUGCGAGCGGGGCCUCGAGGUGUCCAGAGCCCCUGCAAGUAUGCACUGAGAAAUUUAUCUACAGGUCGUUUGACAAAAAUGAACAAUAUCCUAUUUAUUGUAUAUACUGUUUUAUUAUAAAUCGUGGAUUGUAUAUUGCAUUCUGUAAACCUGCUGUGGUCCCGUGGUGUGCAAAUUCGCAUGGUUGGGGGGAGGGAGAAGAACCUCUUGCGGGAGCUUUUUUUUUUUCUUUCUUUCUUAUUUUUCACUCUUUUGGGUUUUCUCUUCUGUUGUUGUUGUUGUUUUCUGUUGGCAGGACACACCCAAAGAUCCAAGUUUGUAU